AACCUGAAACCCUGUGUUUACAAGCUGUGGAAGGACGAAGGUCCGACCGCGUACUUUUUGUAGAACGGUCCGGCGAGUUAUCGCUGCCGGCAAGGUUAAGGAUUUAAGGUCCGGAGCCGAAGCGAAAGCGAGUCUUAAUAGGGCGAAAAGUCAGCAGAGAUAGACCCGAAACCGGGUGACCUAUCCAUGUCCAGGAUGAAGCCAAAGUAAAAUUUGGUGGAGGUCCGAACGCACAUCCGUUGAAAAGGGUGGCGAUGAGGUGUGGAUAGGGGAGAAAUUCCAAUCGAACCCGGAGAUAGCUGGUUCUCCUCGAAAUAGCUUUAGGGCUAGCCUCGUGUUAAUGAUCUUUUGCAGGUAGAGCACUGAAUUCUUGAGGGGGCGUCAAAGUCUACCAAGAGAUAUCAAACUCCGAAUGGCAGGAAGACAGACACGGGAGUCAGACGAUGCGAUAUAAAUUGCAUGGUCAAAAGGGAAAGAGCCCGGAUCUACAGCUAAGGUCCCAAAGUGCGUGUUAAGUGGGAAAGGAUGUGAGAUCUCAGAGACAACUAGGAUGUUGGCUCAGAAGCAGCCACACAUUCAAAGAGUGCGUAAUAGCUCACUAGUCGAGAGGUCCUGCGCCGAAAAUUCACGGGGCUGAAACACGACACCGAAGCUUAGGGAUGGAGAAAUCCAUCGGUAGAGGAGCAUUGAAAACCCAUAGAAGCAGGACCGGAAGGUUCUGUGGAGAGUUUUGAAGAGAGAAUGCCGGAAUGAGUAGCGAGAUGGAGGUGGGAAUCCUCCAGGCCGAAAAUCUAAGGUUUCCAGGGUAAAGCUGAUCUGCCCUGGGGAAGUCGGGGCCUAAGGCGAGGCUGAAAAGCGUAGUCGAUGGAGAACUGGUGAAGAUUCCAGUACCGAAUGAUAUCAGAACUGCGGGGACACAUGGGGGAAGGAAGAGCCGGGAGAGAGAAGACCGGUGCAAGCGCCGAAAGGCGUGAAGCGGAACGAAGAAAAGUAGGGAAGCUUCCGGAGACUGUGGCGAGAAAAGCCGCUAUUGUGUAUCAUGAGCCCGUACCGCAAACCGACACAGGUAGAUGAGGAGAGAAUCCUAAGGCCGACGGGAGAAGCAUUGUUAAGGAACUCGGCAAAAUGACCCCGUAACUUCGGGAGAAGGGGUGCCCACGGGAGUGGGCCGCAGAGAAAAGGCUCAAGCAACUGUUUAGCAAAAACACAGGUCUAUGCGAAACCGAAAGGUAAAGUAUAUGGGCUGACGCCUGCCCGGUGCUGGAAGGUUAAGAGGAGAGGUUAGCGCAAGCGAAGCUUUGAAUUGAAGCCCCAGUAAACGGCGGCCGUAACUAUAACGGUCCUAAGGUAGCGAAAUUCCUUGUCGGGUAAGUUCCGACCCGCACGAAAGGCGUAACGAUUUGGGCACUGUCUCAACGAUGGACUCGGUGAAAUCAUAGUACCUGUGAAGAUGCAGGUUACCCGCGACAGGACGGAAAGACCCCAUGGAGCUUUACUGUAG
rnacentral:rRNA from 1 species